rnacentral:lncRNA from 1 species
UUCUGAUGUAAAUUUCUUCUUCUGCCUUUUUAAUAAUCUCAUACAGUUCUUCUGAGUUAACACUAUUGAUACUCUGGGAAUCCUCAAAAUUGUUCUCACCCAUUGAAACAUCAUCUCCAGUAGUAAUCUGUCUCUGAAUGUCUUGUUUAACUUGUUCCAUGUAGGCAGCAAUUAAUUCUUCUUGGGACAAAAGACCACCUUUUUUAAUCUGGAUUUUUUUAGUUAUUCUGGCAAAAUGACUUUCUUCAGUAAUCGGAAUUUCUGGAAUAAUCUUGCCAUAUUUAGUUACAGCAUUCUGGAUAGUGUGCAAUAAUUCUUGGCCAAUUAAUUUGCCAUCUGGUCCUUUAGUGCUUAAUUUAGGCCAGAAUUUAGCGUGAAAUCUUCUGAAUAUGCAGGGCAUGUCAUCUGAAUCGGUUCCUACUUCAAUAGUCCACCGGAAAAUCCAAGGGAUAGAAAAUACCAUAAAAAAUUCAUAGUUGGAGUCCUGGGAUAAAGUCUUUCUUCCCUGUCUAAUUCAUUAAUUUUUGGGGAGACCUCGACCCAUUUGGUUUAUAAAUCUUGUAAUUGGGUGGUUAAAAUAUUCUGAGAAGGUCCGAAAAAGGACCACCACAUUAUGAACCAAGUUGGAACAUGUGUACUUCUGAAAACUUGAGCACAUAUUUUGAUAAACCAAGAAUGUCGAUGAUCAUCAUUUUCAUAAAAUAAUAUUUUUGAAAAAGCAUCAACAUAAUCCCAAUAAUUAUAAUUAAUGGAAAUCUUUUGUACAUGAUGUACGUAUUGACAAUCUUUUAGAGUGCUUAAUCCCCACUCUUCUGGUAACAUCAACAUAAUCCCAAUAAUUAUAAUUAAAGGAAAUCAUUUGUACAAGAUGUACGUAUUAACAAUCUUUUAGAGUGCUUAAUGCCCACUCUUCUGGUAAAAUUAUUCUUUAAAUAAUCAUUUUUGAGAAAGAAAAAUAGGAUUUAUUAGGGCCACCAGUAUUAUUAUGGGUAAUCUCAAUAGACCCUGUAGUUGUUAAAAUCAUUUUAAAAUGUAAUCUUGUCUUGUAUGUUUGCCAAAUAAUGCAUUGUUUAAAUAUCUUUUCAUGACAAUACAUGGAUUGUGUUUCCACUGGAAAUCUUUAUGUUCCACGUAUAAGAUAAUUUCUUUUGUGGAAUUUGUUUCAAAAAUCUCAUUAUCUGUUUUACAUGUUAUUGCGGCAUAAGAAUAUUCAUUAUUAGGUUCAUAAUCUUUAUUUUUAUUCUCAACAGAGGUGGGUUGAAUGGUAGCAUUGCUACUACCCCUAGUUCCAGCAUUGCUGGCAAUGAAAUCUAGAUAUUUUUUAUAAUCUUCAAAAGAAGGUCUUAUAUUGGUAUCACCAUUUGAAGUGAAGAUCCUGCUUCGAUAAAUCUAUUAGGAAUAUGUCC